UACGAAGGGGGCUAGCGUUGCUCGGAAUCACUGGGCGUAAAGGGUGCGUAGGCGGGUCUUUAAGUCAGGGGUGAAAUCCUGGAGCUCAACUCCAGAACUGCCUUUGAUACUGGCGAUCUCGAGUCCGGGAGAGGUGAGUGGAACUGCGAGUGUAGAGGUGAAAUUCGUAGAUAUUCGCAAGAACACCAGUGGCGAAGGCGGCUCACUGGCCCGGUACUGACGCUGAGGUGCGAAAGCGUGGGGAGCGAACGAGG
rnacentral:rRNA from 1 species